rnacentral:rRNA from 1 species
GUCGAGAAUUUUUCACAAUGGGCGAAAGCCUGAUGGAGCGACGCCGCGUGGGGGAUGAAGGGCUUCGGCUCGUAAACCCCUGUCAUUUGCGAACAAAGGCGCCAACCUAACACGUUGUCGUCUGAUAGUAGCAGAAGAGGAAGGGACGGCUAACUCUGUGCCAGCAGCCGCGGUAAUACAGAGGUCCCAAGCGUUGUUCGGAUUCACUGGGCGUAAAGGGUGCGUAGGUGGUGAACUAAGUCGGGUGUGAAAUCUCCGGGCUCAACCCGGAGCGUGCGCCCGAAACUGGUUUGCUAGAGGAUGGGAGGGGAGACUGGAAUUCUCGGUGUAGCAGUGAAAUGCGUAGAUAUCGAGAGGAACACCGGUGGCGAAGGCGAGUCUCUGGACCAUUCCUGACACUGAGGCACGAAAGCCGGGGGAGCAAACAGGAUUAGAUACCCGGGUAGUCC